GAUGAAGAACGUAGCGAAAUGCGAUAAGUAAUGCGAAUUGCAGAAUUCCAGUGAGUCAUCGAAUCUUUGAACGCACAUUGCGCCCUUUGGUAUUCCGAAGGGCAUGCCUGUUCGAGCGUCAUUAUCACCCCUCAAGCCCUGUGCUUGGUGUUGGACGGCUAGGUCGAGUAAUGUCGACCCCUCCCAAAGACAAUGACGGCGGCCUGUGGUUCCCCCGGUACACUGAGCUUUUAACUGAGCACGUAUCGGACAAGGGCACCCGGGACACGGUCCUCUCCUUUAGCUAGGAAACUUCUCAAGGUUGACCUCGGAUCAGGUAGGAAUACGCGCUGAACUUAAGCAUAUCAAUAAGCGGAGGA
rnacentral:misc_RNA from 1 species